UUAAAAAGCUCGUAGUUGAAUUUCGGGACCAUCAUGUCGGUCGUGCCUCGGUACGUACUGGCAUUGUUGGUUUCUCCCUUCUGACGAACCAUGAUGUCAUUAAUUUGGUGUCUUGGGGAAUCAGGACUGUUACUUUGAAAAAAUUAGAGUGUUUAAAGCAGGCUCACGCUUGAAUACAUUAGCAUGGAAUAAUGAAAUAGGACGUUUGAUUCUAUUUUGUUGGUUUCUAGGAUCGACGUAAUGAUUAAUAGGGAUAGUUGGGGG
rnacentral:rRNA from 1 species